rfam:Picea glauca, whole genome shotgun sequence.
ACAUGCCUACAACAUAGCGUUAAUGCACCGGAUCCCAUUAGAAAUUCACAGUUAAGCACGCUCAGGCUAGAGUAGUAUUAGGAUGAGUGACCACCUCGGAAGUCCUAGUGUUUUACAUGCC